rnacentral:rRNA from 1 species
AUGCCCUGCCAUGGGAAGAAGCACGUCCCUUCAAAUCUUGAUGAUAAUAUGGAGUUGUGGAAGAAACUGAAAGACCGUAAUGACACCAAAAUAACUUUCAAAGGAUUGCUAGCCAAGAUGAAAGUCGACAGCACACCAAAUUUUUUUCAGGCCAUUUGUGUUGUACACCAUAGGCAAAUAUGUAUGCCGAACAAAAAAGGAGUAUGUGGAUAA